UACGUAGGGUGCAGGCGUUAAUCGGAAUUACUGGGCGUAAAGCGUGCGCAGGCGGUUUGCUAAGACAGGUGUGAAAUCCCCGGGCUUAACCUGGGAACUGCGCUUGUAACUAGCAGGCUAGAGUGCGGCGAGAGGGGGAUGGGAAUUACCGCUCGUGUAGCAGUGAAAUGCGUAGAUAUGCGGAGGAACACCGAUGGCGAA
rnacentral:rRNA from 1 species